CCUACGGGUGGCAGCAGUGGGGAAUAUUGGGCAAUGGGGGCACGCUUGUCCCAGCAACGCCGCGUGAAGGAAGAAGGCCCCCGGGUUGUAAACUUCUUUUAACAGGGACGAAGAAAGUGACGGUACCUGUUGAAUAAGCCACGGGCAACUACGUGCCAGCAGCCGCGGUAAUACGUAGGUGGGAAGGGUUAGCCGGAUUUACUGGGUGUAAAGGGCGAGGAGGGGGGAGAGGCAGUCAGACUGGAAAUUCCAGGGCUCAACCCUGGAGCUGCGUUUGAAACUGUUCUUCUUGAGUGAUGGAGAGGCAGGCGGAAUUCCGUGUGUAGCGGUGAAAUGCGUAGAUAUACGGAGGAACACCAGUGGCGAAGGCGGCCUGCUGGACAUUAACUGACGCUGAGGCGCGAAAGCGUGGGGAGCAAACAGGAUUAGAUACCCCAGUAGUC
rnacentral:rRNA from 1 species